rnacentral:siRNA from 1 species
UGUCAUGGACCUACUGUUAGUGAC